rnacentral:rRNA from 1 species
UACGGGGGGAGCAAGCGUUGUUCGGAUUUACUGGGCGUAAAGGCGCGUAGGCGGCCACCGCAAGUCGACUGUGAAAUCUCCGGGCUUAACCCGGAAGGUCAGCCGAUACUGCGGGGCUAGAGUGCAGAAGGGGCAACUGGAAUUCUCGGUGUAGCGGUGAAAUGCGUAGAUAUCGAGAGGAACACCUGCGGCGAAGGCGGGUUGCUGGGCUGACACUGACGCUGAGGCGCGAAAGCUAGGGGAGCGAACGGG